GCCUUCGUGGUGUAGUGGUCAGCACACUCGGCGCGUAUUCGAGAGGUCCGUGGUUCGAAUCCCGGCGAGGGCA
rfam:Stegodyphus mimosarum contig12939, whole genome shotgun sequence.